ACGCUGGCGGCAGGCUUAACACAUGCAAGUCGAACGGUAACAGGAAUUAGCUUGCUAAUUUGCUGACGAGUGGCGGACGGGUGAGUAAUGCUUGGGAAUCUGGCUUAUGGAGGGGGAUAACUACGGGAAACUGUAGCUAAUACCGCGUAAAAUCUUCGGAUUAAAGGGUGGGACUUUCGAGCCACCUGCCAUAAGAUGAGCCCAAGUGGGAUUAGGUAGUUGGUUAGGUAAAGGCUGACCAAGCCGACGAUCUCUAGCUGGUCUGAGAGGAUGACCAGCCACACUGGAACUGAGACACGGUCCAGACUCCUACGGGAGGCAGCAGUGGGGAAUAUUGCACAAUGGGGGGAACCCUGAUGCAGCCAUGCCGCGUGAAUAAAGAAGGCCUUCGGGUUGUAAAGUUCUUUCGGUGACGAGGAAGGUUGAUAGGUUAAUAGCCUAUCAAAUUGACGUUAAUCACAGAAGAAGCACCGGCUAACUCCGUGCCAGCAGCCGCGGUAAUACGGGGGGUGCGAGCGUUAAUCGGAAUAACUGGGCGUAAAGGGCACGCAGGCGGUGACUUAAGUGAGAUGUGAAAGCCCCGAGCUUAACUUGGGAAUUGCAUUUCAUACUGGGUCGCUAGAGUACUUUAGGGAGGGGUAGAAUUCCACGUGCAGCGGUGAAAUGCGUAGAGAUGUGGAGGAAUACCGAAGGCGAAGGCAGCCCCUUGGGAAUGUACUGACGCUCAUGUGCGAAAGCGUGGGGAGCAAACAGGAUUAGAUACCCUGGUAGUCCACGCUGUAAACGAUGUCGAUUUGGGGAUUGGGCUUUGAGCUUGGUGCCCGUAGCUAACGUGAUAAAUCGACCGCCUGGGGAGUACGGCCGCAAGGUUAAAACUCAAAUGAAUUGACGGGGGCCCGCACAAG
rnacentral:rRNA from 1 species